UAAGCAACAUGCAAUCUGUCUUAUCAUGCCAAGAGUCAAGUGAGCAGGACUGGAAGCGCGAAAAAUUGAAGUGCUAUGUGUUGGGUUUUGAUGCUGAGACAUUGCAGAGAUGUGCAAAACUGAAAUCUAAAGAGGCUGUGAAUUUGAUUGAGAAGCAUAGCUUUGCACUUUUUGGGGAUGACAAUAAUGGUUUGCUAGAGAAUGAUGAGGUUAUUUUGACAUCUUUUUCAAGCUUAAGGAGAUUAGUUUUGGAGGCAGUUGCUUUUGGUUCUUUCCUCUGGGACACAGAAGAGUAUGUCAACUCUUUAUUCAAGCUAAAUGAGAAUUAUUAGGGGAGAGAGAGAGAGAGAGAAGUUGUCAAGUAAAGAAAGGAUUGGCAAUCGAGUUUCACUCUCUGUACAUUUGAGUUUGAUUUCUCCUUUUAUUUCUGAGAACUCAACAGUUUGUUGUAUAGUGUACAUUUGUGCCGUAAAUAACGUAGUGUCUACAAACUGUUCUGCAUAUUUCUGUUUCUACCAUGGAGAUGGAGUUUUGAUGUUAGUUUCAGGUGGUGAAUUAUUGAAUCAAAGACCAUGAUUUGUAAUCUGUAAAUUACAAAAUUGAUGUUUU
rnacentral:misc_RNA from 1 species